AAAAUUACUUUUCUUAGAAUGGGAAGAGUAUAUGGUAACUGUGAUCAAAUUUGAGUCAAUAAAACAUCCGCAUCUUUGGAAUUUUACUUAAAUCUCUUCCCGCACCUACGGUUAGACCACAGAAUCUGAGAGCUCGCAAGUGUGACUCAUCUUCCGCUUCUGCGAGCCAGGAACAACAUUUGCAAUCUCUUUCCCCUUUUGCGAUCUUCGCACCCACGAUUCCCAAUUCGAUAGCAGUCAUAUGUCUUAUGUUGAUUUCUCAAAAUUUUUGUCGGUAUAUCUAUGAAAAUUGUUAUUUUUAUAACCUAAUAAUAUUAAAAGAUUAUCCAUUUAUACUUUCAAUAAAUUGUAUAUUUAUAUUAGAAAGUAUUUUAUUAAUGAUAAUCACAGCAAAGAAUAAGCAAAGGUGAGACUUAAAAACAUACUUAAAAUAAUAAUCAUGAAAAUAACAGUAGAUCUUUUUACAAGCAUAAAAGAAUUAUACCAUUUAUAAUAUUAGUGAACUAAAAUUAUAAUAAUAAAAUAAAAUAUAAUUUAACUAUAGGGAAGCCGUCCAAGUAAAAAAAAAUAAAAAAUCAUUCAAAUAGAGGCACCGGAAAUGUCAAUGAUAAAAUGGAUUCGAUGUUGCAUAUGAGGGAAGAAUGUUCUAAAAUAUAAGGAAAAGAUAGAGCACAAAUCAAGCCUCUAAUAUGAAAAGAUUUUGUUCCACAAAUCAAGCCUCUAAUUAAUAGUUGAUCCUUAAACCUUAAAGAUAAGUUUUGG
rnacentral:lncRNA from 1 species